UGCACGGUGGCGCACUUGGUAGCACUGUUGGCUUGCAGCACAAAGGUCCUGGGUUUGACUCCCAGCCGCAGGUCUUCCGGCAU